rnacentral:rRNA from 1 species
CCUACGGGGGGCUGCAGUGGGGAAUAUUGCACAAUGGGGGAAACCCUGAUGCAGCGACGCCGCGUGAGUGAAGAAGUAUUUCGGUAUGUAAAGCUCUAUCAGCAGGGAAGAAAAUGACGGUACCUGAUUAAGAAGCCCCGGCUAACUACGUGCCAGCAGCCGCGGUAAUACGUAGGGGGCAAGUGUUAUCCGGAUUUACUGGGUGUAAAGGGAGCGUAGACGGCAGCACAAGUCUGGAGUGAAAUGCCGGGGCUUAACCCCGGAACUGCUUUGGAAACUGUGCAGCUAGAGUGCAGGAGGGGCAGGCGGAAUUCCUGGUGUAGCGGUGAAAUGCGUAGAUAUCAGGAGGAACACCGGCGGCGAAGGCGGCCUGCUGGACCGUAACUGACGUUGAGGCUCGAAAGCGUGGGGAGCAAACAGGAUUAGAUACCCGGGUAGUC